CUCUGUUGCUUUUAGGCCUGUGGGGAGGCAGUAGAUCAUGGUGGAAAUGCGUGAUGAAGCUGCUUACUUUCUGUGGCUAGGAAGGAAAGACAGGAAAAGGAGGGGCUGGAGUGCCAAUAUUCCCUUCAAGGCCAUGCGCCAAUGAGCUGACCUCCUCCAGGUCCACACCUCCCAAUGGCACCAUAGGCUGGACCAGGCUUUAAACACAUGGACCUUAUGAGAUGUGCAGGAUCCAAACCAUAGCACUCCACAUUUCUAGUUUCUCUUACAAAAGUCAACAGACGUGGCAUUCUUGCACAGCACCAACUGGCCAAAGCCAAGUAGGGACACCCAGUUGGUGGAGUGUGUGUCCCAGUUUUUGGUUUUUGUUUCAGUGCUGGGAAUCAAACCCAGGGCCCUGGACAUGCUAGGCAGGCACUCUGCUACUGAGCUACAUCCCCAGCCCUGUGUGUCCCAGUGUCAUAGUCAUGUACUCCCCAAUAUUUCAUUUGCCAUGGUGCUUGCUCUGUUUUCCUUACAGUUGAAAAUGGUUUCCCUCUGGUCCCGAAGCCACUGAGUGCAGUGGGCUAGUGUUUAAUUGAAACACGUGACAACUAGAGAAGAAGCCCCCCACCCCAACGGCCUCGCGGGCCUGAAGAAUGCCCCAGAAGGAAGGUCUGAUUAGAAGAGACUGGAAUGAGCCCCUCAUUCAGAGCAUGCAAGGCAGUUUUCCAGCUGUGCCACCCACACAUAGGGGAUAGUCCUGUGCAGGUCAACUGGCACUAAAAGAAAAGCUGUUUUGUAGCAAUGCAGGUAGCUGGCAACAAAGGCAAGAGGACAGGGCAGUGAGAAUGAGCCUCACCACUCCUGAACAGGACCGCCACCCUGGGUGUCCUGAGGGUGAGUAAAAAGCACAUUCUGUUCUCUGCGUGCUUGAGAUGACUCGCCUUUCCCUUCAGCCCCAGAUGCUCUGCUCUUCAGGCCCCAAAGAGGCUUAAAUAUCAGCUCUGACCUUUACCUGCAUAAUACCACAACCCUGGACUUCCUGCCUCCCCCCUCAAAAAAAAAAAAAAAUCCCCACCAAAACUUCAGAUCUGUAAAACCAAAAGGUGUCCAUCAACUGACUGCCCUCCCUGGGAUGCUGGACAAGGGGACAGAAGAAAAACAGAACCUGGCCAGCCAGGGUCCUUUUAGGAAAAGCUGGGCUCACAGGCCUCUAGCUGCUGGGCCCUCUGAGGAAUCUGCCUGGUCCUGUGCCUUAGGAAGGGCCCUGAGUCCUUGGGAAACUGUUUUUUCCAGACUCUGAGCCUUUUGGAAGUGGCUAAGCCAAAGUCCCUUGGCUCUUCUCCCUAAACUUAUUAUGGGCUAUGAGGCCAAAGCCCUCCCCUCCAGGGCCUGGGAGUUGUGGGGGAGUCAGCUUGCUGGCUGAGGGAGUGCCUGCUGUAACUUGUCUCUGUGGCAGAAGCAAUACUGGCUUGUGGAAAAAAAACAAACAAACACUAGGUGGGCCCUGGCCUCUGAGAAGGUCCCUGGAGACGCUCUGGGGACUUCACUGUGAAGCACAUAUGGCUGCAGCCCCUAGGCAGGGUUCUAUCUUGGUCCAGGUGUGGAUCGCUCUGAGAGACAAAGGCUCCCUCCUCUGGAGUCCUUCUCUGAGCCCUCCAAGGUAAAACAGAAAGGAAGCCAAACUGCCAAGGUGCAGAUUUUGCCUCAGGCAACUAAAUUUAUUAGCAAGAAAAAAUUUUUGUCAGCCCAGCACUGACCAACAGAGUACAUUGUUAAUAAAGGAUAACAAAUCUGUCACUUAAUUCAUAAAACAUACCUCAAGCAGUUACAACUAAAAAUAAAGUUGGAUUUUUGUUUAAUUUAAAA